AGAUGGUAAAGUGUCCACUCCC
rnacentral:snRNA from 1 species